AAUCUGUGAAUGAAUAUUGGGUGUUGUUAAUUAAAUAUGAUUGAAUUGGAAAUAUCAAAGAAAUUUUCGGAGAAACAUAAUCAAAACAAAACAUGCAAAACACAAUUGUUAAUCUGAUAAGAGCGUGUUAAACGAAAGCAAAUACUAAGUGCUAGAGUUGGCUUAUCAUUUGUAUACGAGAUUUCUACUACAACUAGGGACAGAAACAAACUCUAUAGAUCUGGUGAUACAAGAGAUUUCAGGAUUAAAACUAAAACAUAAAAAACCUGUUCGUUUGGGAGAAAAGAAAGAAUGAUGUGCCCGGUGGUAUUGGUAGAAUUUUUGUAGCCGUAUUAACCUCAGACAUACGACGUGGGCGUGCUGUUAUCAUGCCUUCUUCAUCCACUAUAUG